ensembl:snoRNA
GUGUUUUUUAAGGCUGAUGCAGUGUUUUCAAAGACUAAUACAGAAAGGUAAAGUAAGUCUCUAACAUACAGAGAAGAAGCUAUCAAAUUCUUCUUUGGAGUCUAUUUGGUUACGAAGCU